GUCAUUCUGGGGACAGUAACAGCUGUUGGAUAUCCGCUAUGUUGCUGUGGCGGGUGUCACGACCGGACUUUCAGGGUCUUUCUCCUCCCUAGCUCAGAUUGCGCAGCGUGUUUUCUCCCAGGGCUCGUGGGCUGCGGACGCACCUAGGACCCCAGGCUCCCACCCCGAGCCAUGUCCACCGCGGAGGCCUCUGCCGUGGCGGCCGACGCCGCCGAGGUGGGCGGCAGGACGAAGACCGGCAGUCCCCGCACAAUCCCGGUGUUUGGGGUGGCGAUCCCGGAUGGGGAGAUGCAGGAUAUUUUCAAGCCUAUGGACCUUAAUCGUAUCAUCAAGCUCCUGGAAGAGGAUGAUAAGGUGAAUUAAUGAAAAUACCAAGUUCUAAAUUAAGGAUACAAAUCUGUAAGUGUAUUGUUGACUUCUAUCAUGCAGAACCACUAAAGAAACACAUUUCAGGCUACCAGCAAGUUAGCUCAUCAUUCAAGAUUAAAAUGGUAGAGGUCGGAGGAUUAGCAAAAGCAAUGGUCCAGUCUGCACUCCUGCUUGAGAAUCAGCUUGUUGAGAAACUCUGGGUUCUUAAAGUUCUGCAGCAUCUCUCUACUUCUGGAGUUAACUGCACUUUGAUGGUGAAAGCCCAAGCAGCCAGCAGAAUCUGUGCUCACCUCAACGACCCGGAUCCCUCAGGACAGCUUUUGUUUCGUUCAUCAGAAGUACUGUGGAAUUUAUUGGAAAAAUCUUCAAAGGAGGAAAUUAUACAGCAGCUCAGUAACUUGGAAUGCCUGCUGUGAGUGGAAGUAUUUAAAAAUCUGGUUAUGAGGGGGCAUAGUCACUAUGAGCGUCAGCUUAGAAAUGAUAUAUUAGUUAUCACCACAAUUAUAGCUCAGA
rnacentral:lncRNA from 1 species